UACGUAGGGUGCAAGCGUUGUCCGGAAUUAUUGGGCGUAAAGAGCUCGUAGGCGGUCUGUCGCGUCUGCUGUGAAAACUCAGGGCUUAACCCUGAGCUUGCAGUGGGUACGGGCAGACUAGAGUGCGGUAGGGGAGACUGGAAUUCCUGGUGUAGCGGUGAAAUGCGCAGAUAUCAGGAGGAACACCGGUGGCGAAGGCGGGUCUCUGGGCAUUAACUGACGCUGGAGGAGCGGAAAGCAUGGGGAGCGAACAGG
rnacentral:rRNA from 1 species